rnacentral:pre_miRNA from 1 species
CCAUUUGAAGUGAGGAUUAGAGGUAACUGAACCAUCCAUUGGAAGAAAGGUUCAGUUUCCUCUAAUAUCUCAUCUUGAAUGG